rnacentral:tRNA from 1 species
UCUCUGGUGGUCCAGUGAUUAAGACUCUGCACUGCCGAUGCAGGAGGCACCGGUUCGAUCCCUGGUUGGGGAA